CCUACGGGUGGCAGCAGUGAGGAAUAUUGGUCAAUGGGCGCAAGCCUGAACCAGCCAAGUAGCGUGCAGGAUGACGGCCCUACGGGUUGUAAACUUCUUUUAUAAAGGAAUAAAGUGAGGCACGUGUGCCGUUUUGUAUGUACUUUAUGAAUAAGGAUCGGCUAACUCCGUGCCAGCAGCCGCGGUAAUACGGAGGAUCCGAGCGUUAUCCGGAUUUAUUGGGUUUAAAGGGAGCGUAGAUGGGUUGUUAAGUCAGUUGUGAAAGUUUGCGGCUCAACCGUAAAAUUGCAAUGGAUACUGGCAGGCUUGAGUACAGUUGAGGUAGGCGGAAUUCGUGGUGUAGCGGUGAAAUGCUUAGAUAUCACGAAGAACUCCGAUUGCGAAGGCAGCAUACUAAACUGCCACUGACACUGAUGCUCGAAAGUGUGGGUAUCAAACAGGAUUAGAUACCCGGGUAGUC
rnacentral:rRNA from 1 species